rnacentral:rRNA from 1 species
AACGAACGCUGGCGGCAUGCCUAACACAUGCAAGUCGAACGAGACCUUCGGGUCUAGUGGCGCACGGGUGCGUAACGCGUGGGAACCUGCCCUUAGGUUCGGAAUAACUCCCCGAAAGGGGUGCUAAUACCGGAUAAUGUCUUCGGACCAAAGAUUUAUCGCCUUUGGAUGGGCCCGCGUUGGAUUAGCGAGUUGGUAGGGUAAAAGCCUACCAAGGCGACGAUGCAUAGCUGGUCUGAGAGGAUGAUCAGCCACACUGGGACUGAGACACGGCCCAGACUCCUACGGGAGGCAGCAGUGGGGUAUAUUGGACAAUGGGCGAAAGCCUGAUCCAGCAAUGCCGCGUGAGUGAUGAAGGCCUUAGGGUUGUAAAGCUCUUUUACCCGGGAUGAUAAUGACAGUACCGGGAGAAUAAGCACCGGCUAACUCCGUG